CGACAAUGUCAUGUUUAAACACCGGUUCCUGUACGAUCUCUGAAGUUAAGCAACGUAGAGCUUAGUGAGUACCUAGAUGAGUGAUCCCUUAGGAAUACCAAGUGCAGUA